ensembl:lncRNA
GUCCUACAGAGAGGCUCCCCCGUGUGACGGUAACUUCGGUACAAGGUAUCCUCUUUUGCCUUGGCAGCGGCAGCAGAAUAAGCAGAACUUCGCCAAGCACUCAUCAGUUAAAAAAAAAGCAAAGACAGGGAGGAUCUGUAGUUGAAUUCACAGCUGCCACUUUUCCCUAACAUCCCAAAGACAAUUCUGGAAGCUCCUUUGCCUUGUCUUCCCCUGCCUCCUGUCUUCAUACAGCAGGGGCUGACCCAUGGGGCUGGAAGCAGAGGGUCUGUCUGAGGAGAGGGCAGAGCCAACCCUCUGCUUUCUCUGAAAAAAAACUGCAGGAGCCACAGAGACUGGGUGAGUGUGUGUCGUUAAGAGAAAUUUCACAGGCGGUAGAACGAGCAGCGUGGAGACGGGAUGGAGAGCCAGUGGAGAAAUCCUGGCUUUGGAGUCAAACGACACCUGGUUCCCUUCCCAGGAUCAUCCGGAACAGCUGUGCAGCCUCGGUGAACUGGCUGAACCUCUCUGGGCCGACAUUCUCAUUAUGGAAACUAGUGGAGAAGGAAGAGCCCAGCAAGGAGACCCUGGGAUUGCCCGGUUCCCCAGCAUCAGCAUUACUUGGCAGCCCACCUCAGCACCUCUUGAGAACCAUCCUCCACAGUCAUUUCCUGUGGUUGAGGUGGCUGCCUGCCCCACCGCCUGGGCAAUCAGAACCAGGGACUGUAUCCAGGAUGGGCGUGCUCAGUGGACAGAAAGGAAGCCUCAAGCUUUUACAGCCACCACUUGGCCGCCUGCCCAGGAAAGUUCUAUAGGCUGAGCUAUCGCAGAAGGAAGACAAGCAGAAGGAGUCAGUGAAAGUCACGACCCCAUGGACUAUACAAUCCCUGGAAUUCUCCAGGCCAGAAUACUGGAGGGGGUAGCCUUUCCCUUCUCCAGGGGAUCUUCCCAACCCAGGGAUCGAACCCAGGUCUCCUGCAUUGCAGGCAGAUUCUUUACCAGCUGAGCUACAAGAGAAGUCCAAGCAGAGGGAAGAGACAUAUACUUCUGAUGACAUAGUUUGAGCACCAGGAUUCAGGUGAAUCUGAGGCCAUUGACUAGUGAAUAAAC